rnacentral:lncRNA from 1 species
GGGUGGUUUGGCUAUCUAAAUUAGGCAGGGAGGUUGUUUAAAUAGGCAUGUGGGCUUGGGUUAGUAGUUUGUAGCUCCGGUUUCGACCACGCGAUCGCGAUCGGACGGUCUCGGUUGCGCUCUAGAGUUAGGUGCAUGUGUUAGAGAGGCUAGGUGGGGAAGAGAGGGAAAACGGACACCGAACGGUAGAGUUUCAAAUACCUAAAUGUCCGACAAAUAAACCGGCCAUAGUGCCGCUAUAUAUUCAACAUAUCGGGUAUCAAACAAACUCCGAUUGCGACGAAAUUUGGCAGGCGGCCUAGCUACAUUAAAAUAAGACUCCAGCCAAGUUUCAACCCAAUCUGAGAAUAUUUUAUACACACUUUUAAAAACAAUAUUUUAACGAUUCCGCGGGCGCGUGCGUGUGUGGUUGGUCUCAAAACGGUCAGUGACGGACAUGCAGAGAACCCAUAACUAAUAAGGGAUGUAGCUUUUUAAAACUG